rnacentral:lncRNA from 1 species
GAGAUGGUUGUGGUUGAUAAUGUUGGGCUUCUCUGAAAACAGGUGUUAUGUGAGCCACCUGAUGCUGGUUGUUAUUGGGGAGGGUGAUCUUCCUCUUCACAGAGGGUCUUCUCUUAACAUGGGAAGACACAGCAUGUGCCUCUCCCUCCUUCUUCUUUGCAAAGCUUCCAUAUCUCUUUGCUGAAGAGCCUUCCUCUCGAGUCAAAC